UACGUAGGGGGCAAGCGUUGUCCGGAAUCAUUGGGCGUAAAGAGCGUGUAGGCGGCCCGAUAAGUCCGCUGUGAAAGUCCAGGGCUCAACCCUGGAAUGCCGGUGGGUACUGUCGGGCUCGAAUCCGGAAGAGGUGAGUGGAAUUCCUGGUGUAGCGGUGAAAUGCGCAGAUAUCAGGAGGAACACCAAUGGCGAAGGCAGCUCACUGGGACGGUAUUGACGCUGAGACGCGAAAGCGUGGGGAGCAAACCGG
rnacentral:rRNA from 1 species